GACGAACGCUGGCGGCGUGCUUAAUACAUGCAAGUCGAACGGAAAGGCCCUGCUUUUGUGGGGUGCUCGAGUGGCGAACGGGUGAGUAACACGUGAGUAACCUGCCCUUGACUUUGGGAUAACUUCAGGAAACUGGGGCUAAUACCGGAUAGGAUCUCCUGCUGCAUGGUGGGCGUUGGAAAGUUUCGGCGGUUGGGGAUGGACUCGCGGCUUAUCAGCUAGUUGGUGGGUUAGUGGCUUACCAAGGCUGUGACGGAUAGCCUGCCUGAGAGGGGGAACGGCCACAUUGGGACUAAGAUACGCCCCAGACUCCUACGGGCGGCAGCAGUCGGGAAUGUUGCACAAUGAGCGGAAGCCUGAUGGAGCAACGCCGCGUGCGUGAAGACGGACUUCGGGUUGUAAACCACUUUCGCCUGUGACGAAGAGUGAGUGACGGUAAUGGAUAAAGAAGCACCGGCUAACUACGUG
rnacentral:rRNA from 1 species